AUUGAACGCUGGCGGCAUGCCUAACACAUGCAAGUCGAGCGGAGCUGCGGACGGGUGCGUAAUGCCUAGGAAUCUGCCUGGUAGUUGGGGAUAACGUCCGGAAACGGGCGCUAAUACCGCAUCCUAUCAGAUGAGCCUAGGUCGUAUUAGCUAGUUGGUGUGGUAAAGGCCUACCAAGGCGCCGAUCCGUAACUGGGCUGAGUGGAUGAUCAGUCACACUGGAACUGAGACACGGUCCAGACUCCUACGGGAGGCAGCAGUGGGGAAUAUUGGACAAUGGGCGAAAGCCUGAUCCAGCCAUGCCGCGUGUAUGAAGAAGGUCUUCGGAUUGUAAAGCACUUUAAGUUGGGAGGCGUUACCAACAGAAUAAGCACCGGCUAACUUCGUGCCAGCAGCCGCGGUAAUAC
rnacentral:rRNA from 1 species